GGGCCUUUAGCUCAAUUGGCUGAGCAACACACUCAUAAUGUGUAGGAUGCUGGUUCGAGUCCAGCAGGGCCCA
rnacentral:tRNA from 1 species